rnacentral:lncRNA from 1 species
CGAAAGGGCCUGUAGCCUAACGGUUACAAGGGCCUUAGUAGCACUCCUGGUUGGAGCGAAUAUUUCAGGAUUUUCUAACGGAUUUGUGCUUUCAGGGGUAGGCGCCGUCCCCGUUGAUCAGGCUUCGAAGAUGCUCAUAUGGGUAGGGUUUGCGUGCGUGCGUGCGUUCUUAGAGGAGAGUGUGCGUGUAUUGUGAGCAUUAUACUGUGUUCCUAAAAAAAAAGACUAAAGCAUCUUUCCUUUUUUUUUCUAAAACCCCAAUGCAUUUGUUCGUGCUUUUCAAACCUCAAUGCUUUGUUCUCUACUUACA